GACGAACGCUGGCGGCGUGCUUAACACAUGCAAGUCGAGCGGUAAGGCCCUUUCGGGGGUACACGAGCGGCGAACGGGUGAGUAACACGUGGGUGACCUGCCCUCAGCUCUGGGAUAAGCCUGGGAAACCGGGUCUAAUACUGGAUAUGACUCCAUGACGCAUGUUGUGGGGUGGAAAGCCUUGUGCGGCUGAGGAUGGGCCCGCGGCCUAUCAGCUUGUUGGUGGGGUGANGGCCUACCAAGGCGACGACGGGUAGCCGGCCUGAGAGGGCGACCGGCCACACCGGGACUGAGACACGGCCCAGACUCCUACGGGAGGCAGCAGUGGGGAAUCUUGCGCAAUGGGCGAAAGCCUGACGCAGCGACGCCGCGUGAGGA
rnacentral:rRNA from 1 species